AUGACAGUUUUUGUACGACGGCUCAAUGACUUUGUGUCACUGUGGUGGACGUUUGGUGGAGGAACCAGACUGGAUGUUGGAAGUGAUGCCCGUCCCACCCUGACAGUGCUGCCCCCCUCCAGCGAGGAGCUGCAGGAGGGGAAGGCCACGCUCAUGUGCCUGGCCAACAAGGGCUUCCCCUCAGACUGGAGUCUGGCCUGGAAGGUGGAGGGCAGCAGCAGCAGCAGCAGCUGGGAGGAGAGCAGGAGCCCCGGGGUGCUGGAGAAGGACGGCCUCUACAGCUGGAGCAGCACCCUGAGGCUCCCUGCAGACCAGUGGAGCAAGCUGGGCUCUGUGACCUGUGAGGCCACCCAGGGCUCCCAGACUCUGGUCUCAGAGACACUGACGAGAGAUCAGUGUUCCCAGUUCUGACCUGACUCACUGGGACUCUGCUACUGGUUUUACUCUGCUCUCUGUAACACACUCUCUCUCUCUCUCUCUUUCUCUCUGAUUUAUUCGCUGGUUUUCUGUAAUGUUUGUAAUUUCUGUAUUUCCAGUAAAUAAAGAUCUGUUCAUCAAUUAA